rnacentral:rRNA from 1 species
UAGUUACAGGUGUUGUCAUGGCUGUCGUCAGCUCGUGUCGUGAGAUGUUCGGUUAAGUCCGCUAACGAGCGCAACCCUCGUCGUAUGUUAUAUGUGUCAUACGAGACUGCCGGUAAAAGCCGGAGGAAGGUGAGGAUGAUGUCAAGUCAGCAUGACCUUUAUAUCCAGGGCUACACACACGCUACAAUGGUCUGUACAAUGGGUAGCCAAGCCGCGAGGCGGAGCCAAUCCUGAAAGCAGGCCUCAGUUCAGAUUGCAGUCUGCAACUCGACUGCAUGAAGCCGGAGUUGCUAGUAACCGCAGGUCAGCAAUACUGCGGUGAAUACGUUCCCGGGUCUU